rnacentral:misc_RNA from 1 species
GAGAAUGGUUUCCCUAGCGGAAAAUCUAACAAUCCUUUGUAAUGAGCAAGAACAGAGAUUCAACAAGAUAAAGAACAUGCUCACCUCUUUGAUUCACGGCAUCACAAUAGCAGACAAACAAAAACUUAUCAAUCAAUCUCAACAUGCCACAUCGAUUAGUGAUGCUUCUGCCACCAGACCUACAAGUAGAGCUUUGCCCUUUACUGAAACUCCAUUGCCAGCAACGAAAGAUUUCAUUCCCAGAUUCAAAGGAGUAGACCCAAUGAGAUGGAUUGUGCAUGCAAAGCACUAUUUCAAAAUCUUUGGUACCCAAGAGGAAAUGAAGAUUUAUUUUAUCUUGGUUACUGAUUUUGCGGGCUUCGGC